rnacentral:rRNA from 1 species
CCUACGGGAGGCUGCAGUGGGGAAUAUUGGACAAUGGGCGAAAGCCUGAUCCAGCCAUGCCGCGUGUGUGAAGAAGGCCUUCGGGUUGUAAAGCACUUUCAGUGGGGAAGAAAGCCUUGGGGCUAAUACCCUCGAGGAAGGACAUCACCCACAGAAGAAGCACCGGCUAACUCCGUGCCAGCAGCCGCGGUAAUACGGAGGGUGCGAGCGUUAAUCGGAAUUACUGGGCGUAAAGCGCGCGUAGGCGGUCUGAUAAGCCGGUUGUGAAAGCCCUGGGCUCAACCUGGGAACGGCAUCCGGAACUGUCAGGCUAGAGUGCAGGAGAGGAAGGUAGAAUUCCCGGUGUAGCGGUGAAAUGCGUAGAGAUCGGGAGGAAUACCAGUGGUGAAGGCGGCCUUCUGGACUGACACUGACGCUGAGGUGCGAAAGCGUGGGUAGCAAACAGGAUUAGAUACCCGGGUAGUC